UGACCGCUGGCGGUGGGCCUAACACAUGCAAGUCGAACGGCAGCACAGUAAGAGCUUGCUCUUACGGGUGGCGAGUGGCGGACGGGUGAGGAAUACAUCGGAAUCUACUUUUUCGUGGGGGAUAACGUAGGGAAACUUACGCUAAUACCGCAUACGACCUACGGGUGAAAGCAGGGGAUCUUCGGACCUUGCGCGAUUGAAUGAGCCGAUGUCGGAUUAGCUAGUUGGCGGGGUAAAGGCCCACCAAGGCGACGAUCCGUAGCUGGUCUGAGAGGAUGAUCAGCCACACUGGAACUGAGACACGGUCCAGACUCCUACGGGAGGCAGCAGUGGGGAAUAUUGGACAAUGGGCGCAAGCCUGAUCCAGCCAUACCGCGUGGGUGAAGAAGGCCUUCGGGUUGUAAAGCCCUUUUGUUGGGAAAGAAAAGCAGCAGGUUAAUACCCCGCUGUUCUGACGGUACCCAAAGAAUAAGCACCGGCUAACUUCGUG
rnacentral:rRNA from 1 species